UCUAGUGGCUGCUUUGUAAUAUGGGUUUGGUUACUUUGGGAAGGGAAAAAAUGAGAACGUGAAGAAGAAAUCAAAGAUGGCGGAAAGUGAUGCCGUAAUGUUAUCGUUCUAAGCUGAUACGGACCUUAAAAUGUUGUUGCCUUGGACAAGAUAUGUCUUUUUACGAUGGUCAAAGAGAAGGCAAUGGUCAGAGGCCAUUCUUCAAUAAAUCAGCACAAAAAGGAAAAUAAGUCUGGUUAUUGGAGCAUCGUUAUCUCGCUGUCUAGCUGGUGAAACUAAGAGACUCAGGGCGAGGACAGCAUAU